AGGGUUGGGGCAACUUCCCUGGCACCAUGGAAACACUGCCCAGCAUCCAGUGCUGUGUCUAACCUGCCGGAAACCCCUGUGCUGGAUGGGAGGGGAGCUAGAGGGUGUGGCAGAGGAAAGGGAGCUCAAUGAGAGCCGCCAACUGGAGCUGCUCCUAAGUAGGGCUUCAGGCAGCCCAGUCUGUGGUCAGCCCUGCCUCAGGUCCUGUCCACCUGUCCCAUGAUCUGAAAGAGCCACCUCUAGGCUGGAGCGGGGACGUAAUUGACGGGAAAGUUGUAGCUGAGGGAAGCGCUCUGGGAAAAUAGAAAGCCCUGGGAGGCAGGAGUUCCCAGGAAGAUGGGACCCAUCCUUGCUCAGCCACCAACUGUAUGUGUGAUGCUGGAAAGGCAACCUGCCCCCUCUGAGCCUCCAUUUCUUCCUCUGCAGAAGAAGAAAAAUAGCCCUUCUAUUUUCAUCUUUGGAAUCGCCAUUUGUCAUUCUCAAGGUGCCUCCGCGCCUUUGUCUCUGGCGUCAGCUGGCAGCAGUGUUGCUAAAAAUAGCCGGCGGAGGGACCCGCGCUACACACUGAACAUUAAAAAUAGAAAGGGAAGCUCUGGUGUGAAUAAUGCAUAGGAGAGAAUCCCGCUCCCGCCGGCCUCCAGGUCCUCCGGGGGCCUGGCGGCGGAGCCGAGCCCCGCCGGGCAGGGAGGUUCAAGGCCUUUGUUUGGCCCAGGCUUCUGUGAAAAGGCAGCCUGCAAAUGACAGCCGGCCCCUCGGCCCGCCUUGGGCAGGGACGGAGGAGAAGAAAUGGAGCUUCGGACCAGCGUUCUGGAAUGCACAUCUGGGGUCUGAUUCCUAAGCACAAACUUACAAGAACAAAGGAGGGAGUGGGUCUGUGACAGGGCAGGGAGAGCACGCCCUGUCCCAAGCCUCGGAGUGUCUUUUCAGAUACACUGCCAGACAAGGAUCCCCCUGGAGGUGGUCAUGAUAAGUGAAAUAUGUCCCAAAGAGAAAGACAAAGACGCUAUGACCUCACUUAUAUGUGGACUCUAACGUAUGGCACAGAUGAACCUGUCUACCAAGCAGAAACAGACUCAUGGUCAGAGAGACCAGCCUUGCGGUUGCCAAGGGGGCGGGGAGGAUGGGCUGGGAGUUUGGGAUCAGCAGGUGCAAAUUGCUACCUAUAGGAUGGGUAAAUAACAAGGUCCUAAAGUAUACAGCCCAGGGAACUCUCUUCAAUACCUUGUGAUAAACCAUAAUGAAGAAGAAUAUGAAAAAGAA
rnacentral:lncRNA from 1 species